GUCCUACGGGACGCAGCAGUAGGGAAUCUUCCACAAUGGACGAAAGUCUGAUGGAGCAACGCCGCGUGAGUGAAGAAGGGUUUCGGCUCGUAAAGCUAUGUUGGUAGUGAAGAAAGAUAGAGGUAGUAACUGGCCUUUAUUUGACGGUAAUUACUUAGAAAGUCACGGCUAACUACGUGCCAGCAGCCGCGGUAAUACGUAGGUGGCGAGGGUUGUCCGGAUUUAUUGGGCGUAAAGCGAGUGCAGGCGG
rnacentral:rRNA from 1 species